UGAUAUUCAAAUAGUUUAAAGGCACAAUGUGUCUUUUUUGUGAACUUUUGAAGUGUAAUGCAUUCAAAAAUCAACUAUACAUAUCAAUAGAAUGUGAAGAAAUAACACUACUGACAUUUUCGAAUCGAAGAAUAUGUAUAGCAUUGCAGAGAUCUCCUCCAGAAUUAGCGUGCUAACCGACUAGCCCCGGGUCGUCCAGUCUUGCAAUACCAGUUCAUGUCUGAGGUGGCGACAGGGAGUAACAUACCGGCCAAACCGUCUUCAGUGCAGCCCAGAGCAGUCGAGAAAGAGACAACGCAAUUACGCACGCUCUGCUCCCACCCCCUCCUGCUCCUCCCCUCCCCCACGGAGUUCAAGUUCUACAGUGAAGUGUACUGCAAGAAUGGCCGAAAGUUCUAGGAAGAGACCGAAGAGACCUCCAUCACCUCCAGCUAAAAAAAACUCAAACUGAGGCGAAAAGAAUAUCAGAUGGGAAGCAAGCAAAUACACGUUAAUCUAGGGAGUGCUUUCCACCGAUGGAGACAGCUUGGAUAGCAAGGAGAUGCAGUUCAAUUCUGAACUUGCGACAUUUCUUCUUGACUAGAUCAGAAUUCCAGUCCAGUCCUCCCCUAUGAAGGUGUAACGAUUACAAUGUAAUAUCAUCUAAUUUCAGUAAUGUGGCAAAAUGCUUAGCUAAUGCCCAGGUAGUAAUUUGUUUCCUGCUGCAGAAGUUCCUAAAAAGUUGGUCAAGCAAACCCUGCUCCCCAGACAGAUACCAGUGUUGCUGUUUCAUAAGCUGUUUGUAAUAUUUAGAGGAAUCUAGUCUUUGUAAGUAGGCUUUAAAAAACAGUAGAAACAGUGACUAGUGACAGAGUAGCUUUAUGUUUAAGAACUAAUUCCAGCAGUUUUCACAAUCACAAUGGGGUCCCAACCCCCAGAUUAAGAGGUCCUGUCCUGCUCUGAUUUGUUCAUGUUCUUUCAUUCAGAUUGGUGUGUCAACAGGUUGAAUUUCCUGCUGCAGAUCACCUCUUCAUUUCCUGUGGCUCAUCAACAUGAAGCCUGACUCGUUAGCCCAACUUCUUGCUGUUGAAGACUACUAAGGACUGUCCAUGUGCCCAGCUGCUUCCCUCCUGUCUCAUAUAGUCCAAAAGUUACAUUUCUAUUCAUGUUGUUGCACUUGGUAGAUGUAAAGUUUAUUCCUGUCUUGUAGUUUUAUAAUAAAUACCAAGAAUCAGGAUUGGUGAAA